CAGUCGCCGCGGUAAUACGGAAGGUCCAGGUGUUAUCCGGAUUUAUUGGGUUUAAAGGGAGCGUAGGCCGCAGGUUAAGUGUGUUGUGAAAAGCAGUCGCCCAACGUCUGCCUUGCAGCGCAAACUGUCCUGCUUGAGUGCGCACAACGCAGGCGGAAUUCGUCGUGUAGCGGUGAAAUGCUUAGAUAUGACGAAGAACUCCGAUUGCGAAGGCAGCUUGCGGGAGCGCGACUGACGCUGAAGCUCGAAAGUGCGGGUAUCGAACAGGAUUAGAUACCCCCGUAGUCCCUGUCUCUUAUAC
rnacentral:rRNA from 1 species